UACGGAGGAUCCGAGCGUUAUCCGGAUUUAUUGGGUUUAAAGGGUGCGUAGGCGGCCUUUUAAGUCAGCGGUGAAAGUCUGUGGCUCAACCAUAGAAUUGCCGUUGAAACUGGGGGGCUUGAGUAUGUUUGAGGCAGGCGGAAUGCGUGGUGUAGCGGUGAAAUGCAUAGAUAUCGCGCAGAACCCCGAUUGCGAAGGCAGCGUGCCGUGCCGCCACUGACGCUGAGGCACGAAAGCGCGGGGAUCGAACAGG
rnacentral:rRNA from 1 species